CGCACCCGUCACAGGGUGAUUAGGUUUAUUGGAGGUCGUCUGCAGGUUGCCUAUGUUGAAUGAUGAACUAAAUGAAUGAGAGGAAAGACAAAAGCUGAUUUUAAUUGAAGAACAAGAUACUAGGAAUGUUUUGAGAGGUCUUGGGCUCUAGCCUUCAUUUGAUCAUCUUGAAAUUUGAUAACGGGUAUCCUCUCCAUUACAC